UACGGAGGGUGCAAGCGUUAAUCGGAAUUACUGGGCGUAAAGCGCGCGUAGGUGGUUGUGUAAGUGGAAUGUGAAAGCCCCGGGCUCAACCUGGGAAUUGCAUACCAAACUGCGCAACUAGAGUACGGUAGAGGGGGGUAGAAUUUCAGGUGUAGCGGUGAAAUGCGUAGAGAUCUGAAGGAAUACCAGUGGCGAAGGCGGCCCCCUGGAUUGAUACUGACACUGAGGUGCGAAAGCGUGGGUAGCAAAC
rnacentral:rRNA from 1 species